CAGGAUGAAACUCACAGCAGGAAUAUUCCUAGUCCUCGCGUGCUUGUCGGUAGUUAUGUUACCGGGUGAAAGUGCAUCGCUCGGCAGCUUAGAAGCUCUAAAUUCAGAAUCGAAUGCGAUGCUCUACGGUGCUGAUCAUGAGAUCCAGGAAUCAUCUCUGAUUAACAGAAAGGAGGAGGCCGAAGGUGCGUUAUACGGUUAAAUUCUCACUCCACUCCCGAUGCCACACAGUCACAUGAAGCCUCGCCAUGGACCACAACCUAGACCACCAAACUACCCCUUCAUCAGCUGGGGGUCCUGAACUCCAAGUUUAACACUUGUGGGAUACCUCGGGUCUUUAUCCUCAUACCGCUGUAUCAAUAACAAUGUAUUUUUUGUUAAACAACCAACGUCCGAAUCUGUCUGAGAUUCAAUCUCUUCGGGUCGGCUUUUUCACGUUUUUGAGUUUUGGAAGAUGUUUGGUGAUCACAUGACCAGUUGACUGUGCUGGAAUCGGUCUGGGUUCGUCCCAACCUGGGUUGUUAGAAGUAUCCAUUUUUUGAUCAACUUGGAUCAAUAGUGUCGUUAUCUAAUUUUAUCGAUUUUUAAUUUUGCAAACCCUGAA